rnacentral:rRNA from 1 species
CCUACGGGAGGCAGCAGUGAGGAAUAUUGGUCAAUGGGCGAGAGCCUGAACCAGCCAAGUCGCGUGAAGGAUGAAGGCCCUAUGGUUUGUAAACUUCUUUUAUAUGGGAAUAAAGUGAUGCACGUGUUCCUUUUUGUAUGUACCAUAUGAAUAAGCAUCGGCUAACUCCGUGCCAGCAGCCGCGGUAAUACGGAGGAUGCGAGCGUUAUCCGGAUUUAUUGGGUUUAAAGGGUGCGUAGGUGGUUAAUUAAGUCAGCGGUGAAAGUUUGUGGCUCAACCGUAAAAUUGCAGUUGAAACUGGUUGACUUGAGUAUAGUAGAGGUGGGCGGAAUUCGUGGUGUAGCGGUGAAAUGCAUAGAUAUCACGAAGAACUCCGAUUGCGAAGGCAGCUUACUGGACUGCAACUGACACUGAGGCACGAAAGCGUGGGGAUCAAACAGGAUUAGAUACCCUUGUAGUC